UCUGGAAGAUUCGAUAACUCAUAUAUACAAGCCGACACGCUUGACCCGCCGAUCAGAUUUUGAUGAUCGCCGUCUGUGUUCGCCGCCAUUGUUGUGCUUCGAGUGUCACUUGCUUUUGUGGGCACAGG
rnacentral:lncRNA from 1 species